GCCCGCCUAGCUCAAUCGGAUAGAGCGUCAGACUCUUAUAAUCCCGGCUGUUCUGCAGGCGAUCUGAAGGCUGCGAGUUCGACCCUCGCGGUGGGCU